rnacentral:rRNA from 1 species
AGUGAACGCUGGCGGUAGGCCUAACACAUGCAAGUCGAACGGCAGCACAGUAAGGGCUUGCUCUUGCGGGUGGCGAGUGGCGGACGGGUGAGGAAUACAUCGGAAUCUACUUUUUCGUGGGGGAUAACGUAGGGAAACUUACGCUAAUACCGCAUACGACCUACGGGUGAAAGCAGGGGAUCUUCGGACCUUGCGCGAUUGAAUGAGCCGAUGUCGGAUUAGCUAGUUGGCGGGGUAAAGGCCCACCAAGGCGACGAUCCGUAGCUGGUCUGAGAGGAUGAUCAGCCACACUGGAACUGAGACACGGUCCAGACUCCUACGGGAGGCAGCAGUGGGGAAUAUUGGACAAUGGGCGCAAGCCUGAUCCAGCCAUACCGCGUGGGUGAAGAAGGCCUUCGGGUUGUAAAGCCCUUUUGUUGGGAAAGAAAAGCAGCAGGUUAAUACCCCGCUGUUCUGACGGUACCCAAAGAAUAAGCACCGGCUAACUUCGUG